UACGAAGGGGGCUAGCGUUGCUUGGAUUGACUGGGCGUAAAGGGCGCGUAGGCGGUUCGUACAGUCAGACGUGAAAUUCCUGGGCUCAACCUGGGGGCUGCGUUUGAUACGUGCGGGCUUGAGUGCGGAAGAGGGUCGUGGAAUUCCCAGUGUAGAGGUGAAAUUCGUAGAUAUUGGGAAGAACACCGGUGGCGAAGGCGGCGACCUGGUCCGAUACUGACGCUGAGGCGCGAAAGCGUGGGGAGCAAACAGG
rnacentral:rRNA from 1 species